rnacentral:rRNA from 1 species
GGAUGUGAUGGGGAGCGAAAUUUAGUAGCGAAGUAGCUGAUUUCACACUGUCAAGAAAAGUCUCUAUCGAGGUUAAAGGUACCCGUACCGCAAACCGACACAGGUGGGUGAGGAGAGUAUCCUAAGGUCAGCGAGAGAACUGUUGUUAAGGAACUCGGCAAAAUGACCCCGUAACUUAGGGAUAAGGGGUGCCACCAUCAGGUGGCCGCAGAGAAUAGGCCCAAGCGACUGUUUACCAAAAACAUAGG